UUCCGGUUGAUCCUGCCAGAGGUUACUGCUAUCGGUGUUCGCCUAAGCCAUGCGAGUCAUAUGUUCUUCGUGAACAUGGCGUACAGCUCAGUAACACGUGGAUAACCUGCCCUUGGGUCCGGCAUAACCCCGGGAAACUGGGGAUAAUUCCGGAUAACGCACAUAUGCUGUAAUGCUUUAUGCGUAAAAUGGAUUCGUCUGCCCAAGGAUGGGUCUGCGGCCUAUCAGGUAGUAGUGGGUGUAAUGUACCUACUAGCCGACGACGGGUACGGGUCGUGAGAGCAAGAGCCCGGAGAUGGAUUCUGAGACAUGAAUCCAGGCCCUACGGGGCGCAGCAGGCGCGAAAACUUUACAAUGCGGGAAACCGUGAUAAGGGGACACCGAGUGCCAGCAUCAUAUGCUGGCUGUCCAGAUGUGUAAAAUACAUCUGUUAGCAAGGGCCGGGCAAGACCGGUGCCAGCCGCCGCGGUAACACCGGCGGCCCGAGUGGUGAUCGUGAUUAUUGGGUCUAAAGGGUCCGUAGCCGGUUUGGUCAGUCCUCCGGGAAAUCUGACGGCUCAACCGUUAGGCUUUCGGGGGAUACUGCCAGGCUUGGAACCGGGAGAGGUAAGAGGUACUACAGGGGUAGGAGUGAAAUCUUGUAAUCCCUGUGGGACCACCUGUGGCGAAGGCGUCUUACCAGAACGGGUUCGACGGUGAGGGACGAAAGCUGGGGGCACGAACCGGAUUAGAUACCCGGGUAGUCCUAGCUGUAAACGAUGUUCGCUAGGUGUUAGACAUGGCGCGACCGUGUCUGGUGCCGCAGGGAAGCCGUGAAGCGAGCCACCUGGGAAGUACGGCCGCAAGGCUGAAACUUAAAGGAAUUGGCGGGGGAGCACAACAACGGGUGGAGCUGCGGUUU
rnacentral:rRNA from 1 species